ensembl:lncRNA
ACAAUUCAUACAAUUUUAAAAUAAAACCUAGGAAAAUAUCCUUACCACCCUGAGAUGAGAUGUGUUAAACCAACACAGAAAGCACAAUUAGGACAAGAUCAAUACAUUUACUUAGGGCAGACGUAAAAACCUGGAAUAUGACAAAAGACAACAUAGGAAAAAAGAGAAGGUCAGCCACAGGUGGGGAAAAUGUAUGCAAUGCUUAUCCUUGGCAAAAUGAUGCCUGUCCAGAAUAUGUAAAGAACUUCUACAAAUCAAUAAAUGGAAAAAUGGGUAAAAGAUACAAAGACUCAAAAUACAGGUUAAGAAUCUGAAGUGGGCAUCACACCUCACCAUAAUUAAGUAAUUAAGGAGAUGAAAAGGAUGGCACAUUGCAUCCUUCAGCCUGACCAAAAAAGGGGGCGGGGGAGUCUGACAGCAUUACGUGUGAGCAAUGAUGAGAGGAUGGAAUUCCAUCACAUCUGCAUUUGGGGCAUGAAGAAUCAAGAAAGGACAGAAGGGGCCAUUUAGCUGCUAAGGGAUUUCCCCAGAAGGCCCAUCCAAUAACACCCAUUAUAUGUCAGUAGCCACUGUUGUGUCAUGUAUUCAGCACAUUUAGGCUGGAUCAAUGUUUUCCCAAAUCAUGGUUUUGACAAUAAGAAAGAUGAGGGGAUUGGUCUCUGCCAUGGUCUUCGAUGCUUUCUACUGGACCACUCCACGGUCAGAGACCAGGGUUCAAAAGCAUCUGCUGAAACCAUGGACCCUUUUGCCCGUGCUCCGAUCCUGGCCAGAGCCACCAUCCUGGCCCUCAGAUCUGUGGCGGCCUCCAGACCAGCGAACACCGGACUUGCAGAACACUAAUUCCCCUGCAGCCGACAGUCGUGCCUCAGAGAAAAUGCUACGGAGUUGUCCGGAGCCCAUCAGAGUUGACACGAACUGGAGGCAGCACAGCGGCCAUGGGGAGACAGACUCUGCAGUGGACGCAGGGGUAGAUAUGCAGGGAAGGAACCUAGGUUCCCGCCUCUGAGCCACCCCCUGCCACCCUGACUCAGGUCUGUGGGGCAAAGGAGGUGCCCUCGGUUAGACGCCAUAACCAAUGUCUGCUGCUCCGGCUGUCCAGAGCUUUUCCUGGCUCUUCUGGGCACCACAACCCAGCUUUCCCCCACUAGAACGACCCAGGCCUGGGAUUUGGCAGGGAUGGUCAUGUGGUCCAACCCAUGCCAGUGAGGCUCCUGCUAAGGAACACUGGGAUUGCUCAGAAAAAGUCAGGUGGUCCAAUUCCAGCCAAUGAGGCACCUGCUAGGGAACCACUGGGAUUGGUCAAGGAACAAUCAUGUGACCCAAUCUCAGCCAAUGAGGCUUUUGCUAGGGACUGCUGGGAAAGGAUGCUUGCUCCAUCAUGACGGACUUGAACUUGAGGGUCCUGGGGCUCCAGCAGCUGCCACUGGACCCACUGUGACCCACCAGAGGGAGCCUAGGGACAUCCCCUCCUGGAGAGAGCUGCCUGGUCCUGGGGCAGUGGAGACCGAAGCAAGCCACCCUUCCCAGUACAUUUUGGCCACAUCCACUUAGAGUUGGGCUUUUGGCUUCUUGCAAACAAGACUCCCAAGGAGCACGAGGCUAGAAGUCCGGGGUGAUUGGUGGCAAUGCAGAGCAGUUGUGCCACUGCCUGGCAGCCUCGUCCCAGCCUGUUCAUCCCAUGCGAGGUGAACGCAAGCCCUCCCCACUGCCAGUCCCCUCCCUCAACCCAGACCACGGGGUGAUGGGUGUAAUUUAUUGUAGGAAACCCUUAAAGGCGCAAGAGCUUUGGAGAGCCUGCGACAAUAGGCAUAAAGCACGCAUUUAACCCGUCUGAAUGGAGGCUAGAUUUACUGUCUGGGCCAGACGGGAUUUUUGUCCCCAAGUCAUCUCCGAGUACAUUGGUCACGAAAGAUCUUGAAGAUGGAACAAAGGAAGUAAAUUGUAAAAGGAACUUUGUCAAGGAGUUUUCGAUGUUCACCAGAGAGAAACGCGGCUGCCCUCUCCGCAAUGCCUGUUGGAUUCGCCGAGCGGUUCUGGAUCAGAGGAAGAUGCUAAUGAAGGCGUUUAAAUGUACGUUUGAUGGACCCCGGAGAAUGAGGCCAAUUGCAUACAAGCCCGCAGCAAGGUUAAGGAAUCAAAGAAGAUGGGCCAUCAGAUUCUCUGCCGGGGACAAGGCUCCAUUGUCAGGGCCCCUUUCUCAGCCGAGAAGCUGUGUUUUUAACUACAGUGUUUACCAACGUGUUCAUCCUUGCCUGGCCGCCUGGGCCUGCAGAAUUUAUGACCAGGAACAAACCUCUUAGAGGGGAAAAGAAAACAGCUCCUACCAGCUGGGGAAGGGCUGUUUAUGAGGGCCCCGCCGAGCUGCAUUAAGCGUUCCGGCUCCAUGGGGAGUGGGAGGCAUUUGCAAAGACAGGGGCCUAGCCUCGCAGAUGGAAGGGGCCUUGCUUUCGGGAACAAUCACAGGGAGACAGAGGCUCCUUCUGAGGCCUCCCGAGCGGCUUCAAUAUGGCUUGUCUCAGUUUUGUCUCCUUAAGACAAUCCGAAUCUGGGCCCCUUGCAGCUGAGCUCGCCUGCCAGCCUGAGUGCCAGCAUCUGCAGGCUGGAGAUUUUGAGAAACUUGCAGACACCCCGCUGGGUUCCCUGUUGGUGGGACUGACAUUUGUGAGCUGGCUGCCCCGCCUGAAGGUGGGGGGACACCCCCCCUGCUCUAAACCUCCAUGGCAGCCGCCAACCCCAUGCUCAAGACCCUUGACCCAAGGCCCUACCCAGUCCCCCAAGUCCCAUACUGUCUUGCACUUGCCAGGCGUACUCAUGGCUCCCCUUCCAUAAGCAGGUCCUGGAGCGGGUGUCCUGGCCUGGGACAUGCCCCUGACCCUCGAGGACCAGCGCCAUCCCAUUUGAGCUCCACCAUCAGGCUCCCCCAGUUCCAGCCUCUGUGCUCCCUGCCCACUGGUGUUCUCCCACCCACACGUCUGUUCCACCCCCUCAGUCUAAGCUGUUGCCUCUGCCUAGAAUGGUGCUACUCAAUUUGUGGGCCCCAGACCAGCGACCCCAACAGUUUAUGAGUCAGGCACAUUCCCGGGCCCACCUCCCACCUACUGAAUCAGAACCUCUUGGGGCUGCAGAUGGGUGGGGGCGCCCAGGGAUGUUUUUCAGGCUCUCCAGGUGAUUCUUACGAAUAUCGAAGCUGGAGAGGCCCUUCCCACUCCACAUGGGCACUCUCGCUCUCUCUCUCUCUCUCUCUCUCCCUCUCUCUCCCUAUCUCAGUUUGGAGCUGUUUGGAGCUCAGGUCAGGCUCUGGAGAAGCAGGGAGCAUUGUGGAAGUUUCCUGGGGAGAACAGGCAGCAGGAGAAGGGGUCUCUGCCCCCUCCCCCUCAGGUCUGGCUGUCUUCCCAGGUCAGGUGAGUGUCUGGAAAUGUGGGGAGCUCAGGCUGUCCCUGGAAGGGGCAGGGAAGGCUGUAUUAAGGUCCUAGAGCUGCUGUAACAAACAGCCACAGAUGACAGGGCUUUAGGACACAGGAGUCCAUUCUCUCCCAGUUCUGGAAACCGAAGCCCUAAAUCAAGGUGUUGGCAGGGUCUUGCUCCCUCUGGAGCCUGCUCACACCUGUCUCCCAGCUUCUGGAGGCUGCUGGCAGUGCUGGCAUCCUUAGCUUGUGGAUGCUUCACUCCAAUUUCUGUCUUCUUUCUCACUUGGCCUUCUGCCCCCAGUGUGUCUGUGUCUCAAACCUCCUUCUCCUUUAUCUCACAGGGACACCUGUCUUUGGCUAGAGAGCCCACCCUUUAUCCGCUCUGAUCUCAUCUCAAGGUCCUGAACUCAGUUAAGUCUGCAAAGGUAUCUUUUCCAAAUAAGGAUACAUUGGCAGGUACCAGGAACUGGACGGAUCUUGUGGGGACACAAUUCAACGCCCCCCAGACGGUCAGAGUCAUCCGGUGAAGGCACGUGCUCCGGGCAGACGGCCUGUGCUCGAAGCCCAUCUGCACACCUCCCAGCCCUGUGACCUCUUACUAGCUGCUCU